AGAUCUGAGUUAGUUUUAUAGUCUUUACGAUGGAUCUUUGCACAAGAAAAAAAUAGAAGAGUGUAAACAAACCUUGAAAAUGAGGGUUAUCUUUAUUUUUUGCUAUUAUUCUUCGAGUUAUUAUGGUUUUGUUUGAUCUGAGUUUUUUCUCUCUCGAUUUCUUUGAAUGGAUGAUCAAUUUAAAUUCAUUGACGGAUCUUUGCACAAAGAAACACUAGAACAAUGCAACACAAAUUUCGAAAAGGUAGGUGAGCUUUCUUUUAAACUCUUGUUGUUCGUGUUCUUUGAGUCCUGUUGGAUUUGGUUGUUCUGGAAUUUUUUGUUCAUUAUGUUCUUUGUUCAUUUCUUUUGUGUUUUUUGUGUUUGAUACAAGCGUUUUGUUCACGUCCCAAGGAGAUGAACAUAGGCCGAGGUGAUAUGUUUGUUUCAUUGCCUGAUACGAAUGUUUUGUUCAUGUAACCAAGAAGAAUACAUGUCGUGGUAAUUCAUUUGUUUGCAUUUCUCGAUAGAACGUUGUGUUCAAGACGCAUUGGGACGAACAUAGGCGUUGGUGGUGCGUUUUUUUUACUAUCUCAUUACGAACUUAUAGAUAUUUGUUAGUUGUUUAUAUUUAUCUUCUUGGUUGUUCGUGUUCUUCAUGUCCCUUGUGUUCUUGAUGAAUUCACAAGAAAGUACUGAUAAAACACAUACAUGUAGAUAAUUCAUACUUUUUUAUGUGUUAUAUAUGUUUACAGAUACGAAAGUGUGAUUAUAUUGAUAAGUUCGUAUGUUUCUCACAUACUAACCUGCGAAAUCAUUAAAACGUUCGUGUGUUUGAGUUCUUCAUCACAUUUAUGUUUUUGAAUAAUUCUUACGUUUGUACCGAUAAAACUUACAAGUUUAAUGAGUUUAUAUCUAAUAAGUUUCUAUGUUUAUUUCCAUGUUGCAGGAGUACCCAAUAAAGACGACGUGUUGCGUUUAGAGAAUUUUCAAUGGUUGGCGUGUUGCGUUCAGAGAAUUUUAAAUGGUUGUUUUGAUGAAUGUACAAGUUGUAUUUAUGAAUUUAUAACUUGAUGUAUCAAUUUUGAUGGCAUUUUAUUAUUUCAUUUUGUUAUAUUCAUAUAUGAAAUAUGUAUAUUUGUCUAAAUGUAUAAAUUAAUAAUUUUAAUGAAUAUUAAUAUGUUCGUGUUGACAAGGAGGAG
rnacentral:lncRNA from 1 species